GAUGAACGCUGGCGGCGUGCCUAAUACAUGCAAGUCGAGCGAACAGACGAGGAGCUUGCUCCUCUGACGUUAGCGGCGGACGGGUGAGUAACACGUGGAUAACCUACCUAUAAGACUGGGAUAACUUCGGGAAACCGGAGCUAAUACCGGAUAAUAUAUUGAACCGCAUGGUUCAAUAGUGAAAGACGGUUUUGCUGUCACUUAUAGAUGGAUCCGCGCCGCAUUAGCUAGUUGGUAAGGUAACGGCUUACCAAGGCAACGAUGCGUAGCCGACCUGAGAGGGUGAUCGGCCACACUGGAGCUGAGACGCGGUCCAGACUCCUACGGGAGGCAGCAGUAGGGAAUCUUCCGCAAUGGGCGAAAGCUUGACGGAGCAACGCCGCGUGAGUGAUGAAGGUCUUCGGAUCGUAAAACUCUGUUAUUAGGGAAGAACAAAUGUGUAAGUAACUAUGCACGUCUUGACGGUACCUAAUCAGAAAGCCACGGCUAACUACGUG
rnacentral:rRNA from 1 species